GGGUGUUUGGUCUAGUGGUAUGAAUGUAUGAUUCUUGCUUUGGGUGUGAGAGGUUGUGAGUUCAAUUCUCACACACCCC
rnacentral:tRNA from 1 species